rnacentral:rRNA from 1 species
ACCCGCUGAACUUAAGCAUAUCAAUAAGCGGAGGAAAAGAAACCAACAGGGAUUGCCUCAGUAACGGCGAGUGAAGCGGCAAGAGCUCAAAUUUAAAAGCCGACGUAGCUUUAAGAGACGUCCGCAUUGUAAUUUGAAGAGGCAUUCUCGGGUCGGGGCUCAGGCCUAAGUUCCUUGGAAGAGGGCGUCGUGGAGGGUGAGAACCCCGUUCGCGGCCUGCUGUCGACCUUUCCCGAUCCACACGAGGUGCCAUCGAAGAGUCGAGUUGUUUGGGAAUGCAGCUCAAAGCGGGUGGUAAAUUCCAUCUAAAGCUAAAUAUUGACGGGAGACCGAUAGCGAACAAGUAGAGUGAUCGAAAGAUGAAAAGCACUUUGGAAAGAGAGUUAAACAGCACGUGAAAUUGUUGAAAGGGAAGCGCUUGAGACCAGUCACGGACCGAGGCGAUCAGUGGGACGUCCCUCUCGGGGGAGGAACCGCGCACUCGCUUUUCGGGUUUUCCGGGUCAACAUCGGUUGGGACGGUGUCAGAAAGGUCGCGGGAACGUGGCUCCCUUCACGGGGAGUGUUAUAGCCCGUGGCGUCAAAGUCGCCAGUUUCGACCGAGGACCGCGCUCGUCUUUUUCGAGCAAGGAUGUUGACGUAAUGGUCCC